CCUACGGGCGGCUGCAGUGGGGAAUAUUGCACAAUGGGGGAAACUCUGAUGCAGCGACGCCGCGUGAGUGAAGAAGUAUGUCGGUAGGUAAAGCUUGAUCAGUAGGGAAGAAGAAAGACGGUACUUGACGAAGAAGUCCCGGCCAACUACGUGCCAGCAGCCGCGGGAAGACGUAGGGGGCAAGCGUUAUCCGGAUUUACUGGGUGUAAAGGGAGUGUAGACGGCUGGGCAAGUCAGAGGUGAAAGCCCACGGCUCAAUUCUGGGAGUGCUUUUGAAACUGUGGGGCUAGAGUGCUGGAGAGGUAAGUGGAAUUCGUGGUGUAGCGGUGAAAUGCGUAGAUAUUAGGAGGAACGCCAGUGGCGAAGGCGGCUUACUGGACAGUAACUGACGUUGAGGCUCGAAAGCGUGGGGAGCAAACAGGAUUAGAUACCCUUGUAAUC
rnacentral:rRNA from 1 species